rnacentral:lncRNA from 1 species
AUCCAGUUAAUAUACGUGUACAAUUCAUUUUGGAAGUUAGCCACACUCCUGCCUGCUCUGAUCACAGAAACCCAGCCAUAUGAAUGCGUUAUUCUAUAUGGAAUGACAAUCAUAAUGGGUAGCCAUUUUCUUAAAAAACAGAAACAGAGACUAGAUCUAACAAAAAACAGUGUUGCAGCCUUGCAUGGAUCUCCAGUUGAAACCAGAUUCCGUUGUUUAUUGUUAUUGUCUUUUAUGUACUUAGUCUUAAUUUCAGCUUUAGGACAUAAAUAAGAGAGAUAUCUAGUUAGACUUCUUAAAAUAGGCCUGAUGAAAACCCUCUCAGAAUCUCCAAAUUAUGCCUAAAGUUACCUCACAAUCACAUUCCAGAACUUCUUUGAGAAAGAAACUAUGAGCAACGUUUAAAAGACUUUUUCCAUAUAGUUGUAUGUCAUUGUGCAAAACCACUUAAAUAAUUGCAUUUUGGAUGUUAGAAAAUAUGAAUGUCUGGUGGGAAAUCCUUAAAACAAAUAUAACAGCGAUUUUAAUUGGAUGCUGGACAUUGUGCAUUCUAUUAUGGAGCAUCUGGAGAUGGUUUUCUGCCUUUGUUCACUCGAGAGAUAUACACUUGAAUAAUAAAAUAGUAGUUGCUGACAAGAAAGCAGUGCUAGAGGAUUUGCAAGAGAUGCAGAGAGAGAAAAAUCAGAAAUCACAGCCCAAGAUCUGCUGCCAUCUUCCUAAAUCAGCCCUGAGAUGUGGUGAAGGGAGAAGCUCUGAACUAUGAGAAUUCAAAGCAAAGGAAUCCAUCAACAAAACAAAAAGGCAACCUAUGGAAUGGGAGAAAACAUUUGCAAAGCACAUAUCCAAAAAAGGGGUUAAUAUUCCAAGUAUGCAAGGAACAUAUACAACUCAAUAGCAAAAACCAAAUAACCCAAUUAAAAAGUGGUCAAAGGACCUAAACAGACAUUUUUUCAAGAAGACAUAUAAAUGGCCAAAAGGUUCAUGAAAAGGUGCUCAACAUCACUAAUCAUCAGGGAAGUGAGAAUCAAAAACCAAAAUGACAUAUCAGCUCGCAUCUGCUGGAUAACUACUAUCAAAAAGAGAAGAGAUAACAAGAGUUGAUGAGGAUGUGGAGAAAAGGGAACCCUGUGCACUUUCAGUGGGAAUGUAAACUGGAAUAGCCUCUAUGGAAAACAGCAUGAGGGUUCCUCAAAAAAUUAAAAAUAAAACUACCAUAUGAUCCA